AUUUUAAUUAAUGUACAUAUGGUAAUAUUUUUUUAUUUUAUAAAAAUUAUAUUUCAAAAUAGAAAAAUCUAAAAGGAAGCUUUUUGUAAAUUAACAACUUAAUAAAUUAAUAUAAUACGAUAGUUACAACAUUAUUAAUUUAUUGAAUUUUAGUGUACAACAAUAAUGGCUAUGCACAAAAAAAUAAAAAUAAAUCAUGGAUGAAUUUUACCAUUUUACCUUGUGUAGUAAAAAUGAAUUAAAAUGUCAUUAUAUAUGUAUGCAUUAAAGAAGCCUUAAAUCUGCUAUUUCUUCAUUAUACAAUGCAGUUAAGACUAGAGUGAAUUGGGCCAAAAUCCCAUAAGAAGUUACAAAUUAGGGGAAUGCACAAUGAAACAAAAUUGUGGGCUUUAGAAAACAUCCAUGAGAUGAGAAAUGUCGAUAGUAUCCUUAUGCCUGAUAAGAAAGAGAAUGACGACGUAACCGGUUGCAUCGGGUCAUCAGGUUAAUCGAAUUAUAUAUAUAAAAAAAAGUAAAUAUGUAAAAGGUGUAAUGAUUAACCUAGUAUUUAUCCCGCCGUUACUUUAGGUUAGGGCGGCUAUAAACGAGCGUGGCCAAUGAGCUGUGUCGUUGCAUUGUCACGACGUCUGCAUGUUGAGGAAGAUCGGUGCAAAAGAUCUUGUGUCGGCAUGCGAGAAGUUUGUGUAUGGGAGUCGAAACGAAACUUCUUGUGGGGAUCCUCUAUAAAAGGAAGACAACCAAGAGCUGCUGCAAUAAACACUCAGAGAUUCAGCGACAAAACUCAAGGUAUUUAUUACCGACAUUCUUAAAUAAUAGAAUGUUCUUGACAGUGUAUUUACUUUCUUUCACUGAUCUGAUGUUGUUGUGUCGUGUCUUAAUACUGAAUCAUUGUUCUCACCUGACAUUAAUGGCUUGCAUGCAAUCACAUAUAUAUCAUUACUCGCAUUUAAUUGUUUUAGCCGCUACAAACUUAUUUUGUUUGUUAUUUUUUGACUCUGAUUACAAGGAUGGUUCGUUGUGUGCGUCUUUGGAGAGGUGAAUGGAAGAAGAGUGUUGAUCAAGAGUGGGAUUUCGUUACGGACCCCGAAGAUUACGGUUAUAGGGUGUUGGUGAGUAAAAGUGCAAGCUUUGAGGCGGUAGACCAACUCGUGCGCCGCCGUUACAGUCUCGGACCGCGAACUCCGGUGGUCGUCUCUUACCGUCUUCCAAGCUGGCUGCUCGUCCCACAGGGGAACAAAACCCCUCCGUUGACGAUCAAUGACACUGCUCGACUCUCUAUGGUGCUGAAUGUGAGGACUUGGUUAGACGAGCUUGCUCUACUUGUCACCAUAGGAGCAAAGGGGGUAGCGGAGUAUCAAUUUCUGUGUCGGACAAAUUUUACUGUUGGAGCUACUUCGUAUGUGUUUGACGAGUCUGCAACGGAUAACUCGAGAGCCGCUUAUGAAAGUCUUGUGUUUGGAGAUCGUGGAGCCCAGAUGGAGAGGGUUAUGAAUGCCAUAUUCCCCGAGGAAGGAAUGCUCCUUUUUCACAGAGUUUCAUUAGAAAUGUCUUUCGCUGACAACUUUCUGGUGAACCGGAACCGUAGAACCCCACCACCGAGGGAGAUAAUAGAGCUGGAUGACGAUGAUGAUGAGAUGGGUGAGGGAAGUCAACCAACUAUGCGAACAGGUAAUAGGUUUGGAAAUGUGUUUUGCAUGUUGGGAAACAGUAUGUUAGCAAUCUAAGCUUAUGGUUAGCAAACAUAUGUUAGUCUUCCAUUUGUUAAGGAGUUUUGUUAGCAUGGUAUUAUAGGUUAGCUUGCUAAAUGGCUGGUAGAAGAAGUUUUAGCAAUCUAAUCUUUUGCAUGCAACGUGACACGCUUUUAAAUAAUGCUAUCGUCUAGCAUGGAAGUAGCAGAACCAAAUUUGAAAUGUUAAUGAAGUUAUAUUCUGCAUUAAAUUAGACUAAUCAAACGUUGGGUCGACGAAUGAUAUGAUAUAGUAGACAUACUAGAUGAUUAACGUAUUGAUUUUUUGUUAGCUUGCUAAACGUUAUACAUGGUAGCUACAAGAUAUUCUUAAAAGUAGAUAAAUUUUUGUUAGCUUGCUAAUCGUUGCAUUUUUGUUUUGAACCUACCGUUUAGCUUGAUAGUCUUCAUACCUGCAUGGUAACAAAAUUACUUAGGUUGAUAACAUUUUACACGGAAGACGGCACUAGAAAUUUUUUUUUAACUAAAAUAUGUACAAAUGUCAACCAGCUAAGGCUAAGUUAGAAAGUGGUAAUUAAAAAGCGAAUAAAAUUGAAAAUUAAAAUGCUAAGAAACUGUCUUAAGUAGGAAUUGCUUUUGCUUUAGCAUGUGAGGGCGGUGCUGCAAAUGCUCCGAGAGGACGUAAUGCACAGGCAGAGGCGCCUCCCAUUUUUUGGGAUGUUGGGAUGAACGUGGUUGAUUACACAGCUCGCAGGGGCUCACCCCUCCCAACUGAAGCAAGAGUGGAAAAUGGGAUGAUGUUUUGGGAAGGACUCGCUAAUGAAGAGGAGGCGCUUGCAGAAGAAACGAAUGUUGUUAUGGAAGCAGAGAAUCUAAAUGUGGGUGUCGCGGUUGGGGUGACCGACAACAUUGCGUUGGCCAACAAUGUUGUCAACCCCACCGUACAAGCGGUUCGUGUUGACGAUGGAGGGGGGUCAUCGACGGGGUCAACCGACCUUAUCUUGACUACUGGUCGUCACCAAGUCAAGCUCCCGAAUAAUGUGCAAGUUGGAAAUGAGGAAUCUCCCAUCAUCCAUGGGCCCAGCAGAGGUGAACAAUUAUAUUUUUGAGCGUUAAUAUCUAGAAAUCUUCUCAUAGCAUUAUGACUGAAAGUAGCAGGUAUAAGUUUGUUGUUAAUAUUUGAAUAUGUGGCAGAGCUGGUAGCGGCACAGGGACUUGUAUUAGCUUCCACCGCUGUGGCUGGUAGUGGUAGGACUGUGUCAGAAGCGACGCUGCCAUCUAUGAUGAAAUUAGCCAUGUGCUGCGCGGUGAAAGAGGGUGGAACAAGCCGUGCUGUGAACAGAGCAACAGAAACAUCUUCCGAGGGGAGUACCACUGACGGUGGGUGUUGAGUCUUUCUUGUGCUUAUUUUGGGGUUGUGUUUUCCGUUAGUCCAAAUGCUUUUGGUGUUGUGUUUUAUGUUGCUGAAAUUAUGUUGUCGGGACCGUUGGAUGUAAUGCUAAACUUAAGUAUGGGUAUCUAAAGUCUGUUUCUUCCGGAUUAGAUGUUUUGUUGUAAGGUCUAUCAUCAUAACAGUUGUUUGUUUCGAUGGCUGAAUUUUUAAUAUUAGACAAACGGGUAAUAUCUUUCAAUGGUCAUGAACAAACUGUUUUAGCAUGCUAAUCAUUUUCGAACACGGAAAAAUAUUAAUUACAAGUUAGAAUUUAGUUCGGUGGUACAAGAUACCAUGGUAAUCAUUUGAGAUGUCGACUAAAAUUGAGUACAAGUUAGAAGUCUAUAAUCAUAACUGUUGUUGGUGUGGAUGGCUGAAUUUUUGAUAUAAGACAAUCGGUAAUCUCUGUCAAUAGGCGUGUACAAAACAUUUUAGCGUGCUAGGUCAUUUUCGAACGUUGCUGGUUAGCAGUGCAAUAACAUUGGUGUGGCGUAUAACAUUUCUUUUAGCAAAAGUUAAACAAUGUUGUACCGUUAGACGUUGUUGUUAAAAUUACUGAAUCGUAAAGCCAAAAAUAUAUUACAGGUUAGCAAAUUAAAACAAUGCUGUAGCGUAUUUGUUGUUCGUUUUAACCUGGAAUUCGAGAUUAGCAUUUUGUAGUUACGAGUGACGCUAAAGCAUUGUUUUAUACAGAGGACAUUGGAAAUUAUGGCAACGAAGUUGCCGUUGGAAUGAUGUUCAGGAAUAGGGAUGCAUUCAAGCAACAUAUGGCGCUUUAUGCUAUAACCAGGAAGUUCCAAUACAGGAGUCGGAAGUCGGAGCCAGGGCUGAUGGUUUUGGAAUGUUGUGGGGACGAUUGCCCAUGGAGGGUGUAUGCAGUGAAGCUCAAGGAGGCUGAUGUUUUCGAGAUAAGAAAGGUCGUGCCUGACCAUUUGUGUACCGUGGAUGAGCGCGGAGGCUACCAGACCCAAGCCACAUCUUCGGUGAUUGGAGAGCUCAUGAGAAGUAAGUUCGGUGGUUCUUGUGGGGGGCCAAAGCCAAGGGAGAUAAGACAGAUGAUGCGUGGUGACCAUGAUGUAGAUAUAUCAUACUGGAAGGCGUGGCGUUCUAGAGAUGUGGCGAUUGACAAGGCGAAGGGGACUAGUCAAUCAUCAUACAGACAGCUGCCUGACUACCUACACCGACUUGCAGCUGCAAACCCCGGAACAAUUACAAAAUUGUUGACAGAACCGGUGGAAGGUGGUGCAAGCCGGUUCAAAUAUAUGUUUGUGGCCUUUGGUGCGUCUGUUCAAGGAUACGCAUUUAUGAGGAAAGUCGUUGUCGUAGAUGGAACACACUUGAAAGGAAAAUAUGCGGGUUGUUUACUAACUGCAUCCGCUCAAGAUGGGAACUAUCAGAUUUUCCCGCUUGCCUUCGCCAUUGUUGACAGCGAGAACGAUAUGUCUUGGGAAUGGUUUUUCAAACAGUUGUCUGUUUUUGUGGCCGGGAGCGAGGGAUUAGUGUUUGUAUCUGAUAGACACACCUCAAUUUUCAAAGCGGUUAGCAAGGUAUAAUAGAGUUUAUAUUAUAUUUUCAUUUAUUUCUGUGUCUACCAUUAUUGCGAGUAAGGCUAACAAUGUAGUUGUUGUGUCUACAGGUUUUCCCUUCAGCAGGCCACUGUAUUUGUGUUGUUCAUCUGAAGAGAAACAUUCGUUCCAACUUCAAGGCUCGUCACUUGGAGUAUCUAGUCGCCAAGGCUGCAAGGGCGUUCAGGCUGCAAGAAUUUUAUAGCAUCUUCAAUGAGAUUAAGACAAUGGAUCCAAAAUGUGCAGAGUAUCUGCUAGAUGUUGGGGUGGAGCAUUGGGCCAGGUCGCAUUUCUCAGGUAAUCGUUACAAUGUAAUGACGAGUAAUCUCGCAGAAUCUUGGAAUUCGGUGUUGCGUGAAGCCAGAGAAUAUCCGGUGAUACCGUUGAUUGAGUUCAUUCGUGGGAAGUUGACUGCUUGGUUUGCAUCUCGUCGGGAGGCGGCGCAAAAGAAUAGUGGAAAACUUACACCUAAGGUCUCGGGUAUUGUUACUGACAAUUUUGAGCAGACUGGUGGAUACCUGGUUACUAUGAUAGGAGAGGAUGAGUAUGAGGUGAGGAACAAAAACGGAGCAGGUUUUCAUGUUGAUCUGGUCAACAAAACUUGUAGCUGCGGUGAAUUCCAAAUGCUUUCUAUACCGUGUUCUCACGCUAUAGCUUCAGCAAUUAAAGGAAAGAUUGGUGUUGAUUCAUUGGUUUCGCCUGCUUAUACGGUUGAGAAACUCAGGUCUGCAUAUGCAGGGAGCGUUUUGCCAGUGCCUGAUUUCACUGGAUUGGCAGAUUUGGUCACUGAUUUCGGUGGAAUGCAGUUGUGUCCUCCUUUGACAAGGCGACCACCUGGGAGGCCGAAGAAGCAAAGGUUCUUUUCAAGGGGGGAGAAGAUUGUAAGUGAAAGCCGAUUUGACAAUGUAAUGAAAUGAUUAUCGAUGCAAACGUAUUUUAGAAGAGCUAACUUGAAAAAUGUUUUACAGAUGAAGCGAAUGCGCAGAAGGACAGUGUGCAGCCGGUGCAAGGGUUUUGGACACAACAAAGCCACUUGCAAGGAAGCUAUAUAAAACGAAAGGGAUGGAUUGUGGAGGGGUUUUAAGGCAACAGAGGAGUUGUAAUGGAAAGUGGCGGAAUCAUGAAGUGGCUUGACUAAUAAUCUUGUGUGAUAUUAUGUUGGUACUUGUUCUCUUCAUGAAAGGGUUGUAGGAUUAAGGUUGUAUUGCCAUGUAUAAAAAAAAUAAAAAAUUUCCUCCAUACGUGUGUUCGUUGUUACAUGCUAAACUUUUUUAUUUUAUUUGUUAAACAAAUAGUUGCCGGGCUUUGCGUAUUGACAAAAUGGCAGAAAAUCCCCAUAGCACAUUAUCAUACUUGAAUGUAGUAGGCAUGCUGUGUAAAACACCAUUCCAAAUCGUGGCAAUAUAUUCGUAUGAUUUGAAAAAUGAGUUUCAAGAAAGUGUAACAAACAAGUGAUCUAACAAUAUUUACAAGAAUGUAUCAUUAUACGUACUUUAGAGUAAAGUUGAAGUGAAUCUCGUGACUUGUGUGUACGAAUACAUGUUAGCAAAAUUAAUUGAAGCCGUUUCUUGAAAGGAGAUAUUCAGUUUGUUAAGUAUAUAUGUUGGCUUGCUAACAUAUUAAUAUGAAUGAUUAGAGGAGUAUUAUUUGUGGACUUGCUAACAAUAUUAAGAAGAUGAAUUUGAAAGACAAAUAUUUUGGUGAGAGACAGUAAUUUGGCAAGCUAAAUAUCGUAACUCACACAUAAUCGUAGGAAAAUGAAUCCCACAUCAUUUGCUAACUAAGAUCAUAGAUAAUUUGUAGCCGGUUUAACGAAGAGACGAAGUUUGAUAACAUAACCACUAUAAAUUUGUAGCCCUGUUAAACAAUGUCUAUUGUUGAUCUGGGCAUACAAAACAACAUGAUAUAACAAUGUUUGUUUGAAAUUUGAAAGCAAAACAUUAAAACAUUAGAUAAGAUAGAGUAGUAAGAUAACCAAAUGAUAAGAGAAAAU